rnacentral:rRNA from 1 species
UACGUAGGGUGCAAGCGUUGUCCGGAAUUAUUGGGCGUAAAGAGCUCGUAGGCGGUCUGUCGCGUCGGCUGUGAAAACCCGGGGCUCAACCCCGGGCCUGCAGUCGAUACGGGCAGACUAGAGUGUGGUAGGGGAGACUGGAAUUCCUGGUGUAGCGGUGAAAUGCGCAGAUAUCAGGAGGAACACCGGUGGCGAAGGCGGUUCUCUGGGCCUGUACUGACGCUGAGACGCGAAAGCGUGGGGAGCAAACAGG